GGGAAUGCCAGUACCAGAUCAAUGUGGAGCUAUAUACAGGGAGUACCAGUACCAGAUCAAUGUGGAGCUACAGUAUAUACAGGGAAUGCCAGUACCAGAUCAAUGUGGAGCUAUAUACAGGGAGUACCAGUACCAGAUCAAUGUGGAGCUACAGUAUAUACAGGGAAUGCCAGUACCAGAUCAAUGUGGAGCUACUUUAUAUACAGAGAUUACCAGUACCAGAUCAAUGUGGAGCUACUUUAUAUACAGGGAAUGCCAGUACCAGAUCAAUGUGGAGCUAUAUUCAGGGAAUACCAGUACCAGAUCAAUGUGGGGCUAUAUACAGGGAGUACCAGUACCAGAUCAAUGUGGAGCUAUUUACAAGGAGUACCAGUACCAGAUCAAUGUGAAGCUAUAUACAGGGAGUACCAGGACCAGAUCAAUGUGGAGCUAUAUUCAGGGAAUACCAGUACCAGAUCAAUGUGUAGCUAUAUACAAAGAUUACUCGUAAAAGAUCAAUGAGGAGCUAUGUACAGGGAGUACCAGGACCAGAUCAAUGUGGAGCUACUUUAUAUACAGGGAAUGCCAGUACCAGAUCAAUGUGGAGCUAUAUACAGGGAGUACCAGUACCAGAUCAAUGUGAAGCUAUAUACAGGGAGUACCAGUACCAGAUCAAUGUGGAGCUAUAUUCAGGGAAUACCAGUACCAGAUCAAUGUGGAGCUAUUUACAAGGAGUACCCGUACCAGAUCAAUGUGGAGCUAUGUACUGGGAUUUCCAGGACCAGAUCAAUGUGGAGCUAUAAACAGGCAGUACCAGUUCAAUGUGGAACUAUAUACAGGGAAUACCAGUACCAGAUCAGUGUGGAGCUAUAUACAGGGAAUACCAGUACCAGAUCAAUGUAGGAGCAAUAUACAGGGAGUACCAGUACCAGAUCAAUGUGUAGCUAUAUACAGGGAGUACCAGCACUAGAUCAAUGUGGAGCUAUAAACAGGGAGUACCAGUUCAAUGUGGAUCUAUAUACAGGGAAUACCAGUACCAGAUCAAUGUGUAGCUAUAUACAGGGAG
rnacentral:lncRNA from 13 species